UACGUAGGGUGCUAGCGUUGUCCGGAUUUAUUGGGCGUAAAGGGCGCGUAGGCGGUCUUUUAAGUCGGGGGUGAAAGCCCAGGGCUCAACCCUGGAAUUGCCUUCGAUACUGGGAGUCUUGAGUUCGGAAGAGGUUGGUGGAACUGCGAGUGUAGAGGUGAAAUUCGUAGAUAUUCGCAAGAACACCGGUGGCGAAGGCGGCCAACUGGUCCGAUACUGACGCUGAGGCGCGAAAGCGUGGGGAGCAAACAGG
rnacentral:rRNA from 1 species